GGUUCCCAAUGUUACUUUUUCUCUGCUACCUUUUAUUGCAAACAGAGAGACUUUUCAUUUUUUUCAAUCCAGUGGUCUUUGCCAAAGUCUCUCCUCUCCAAGGUUUCUCCUCUCCAGCGCAUUUCGGACCAUUUCUGGGAUUCCCCUCUCCAGGUAAAAGCUUUCUCCACUAUUGAGAGCCUCCGUUGCAAUAGUAUGAGCAUAGAUGUUAUUAACUUUUGGAAUAAAAGAAAACUCAACCUUCUGGUAUCUGCGUUUCUUACUCUGAAUAUCUCUGAUUAUUGCUCCUACGACCGAUCUAUCAAUAAUAGAAUUUUGGCACUUCUUGAUAACCGUUUUUGAAUCUCCCAUAACUUCAAGUAUGUUGAAUCCCAGACUAAUACCUAGUUUUACUGCUUGUAAUCCUGCAUAUGCCUCUGCUGUAAAUGGGUCUUCUAUGUUGGAGUGAUGAACUGCCUGUGAUGCUAGGAUUUCUCCUUCCCCAUUCCAUGCUAUCAGUCUCGAUGCCGAUCUGAACGUCUGACGGUCAAAAGCUACGUCGAAAUGAACUGUUGCCCUUCCCCUUUUGAACACCUGGUGACACUUAUCCGAAGAGUGUAAAUUGAUUUCUAUUGAACCAAAUAAACCAGAGACCACAACAGAAUAUUUGAAGUUGCUCAACAUUUCCUUGUCCAAAGAUUCCAGGCACUGUUGAAAGACAUGGUAACUGUUUUCUUCUUCACAAUCACACCUGGGACACUGAGUAUUCACUACUACCCGCUUGAUUUUGAGGUUGCAAAAGGAUGUGAUAAAGUUCCAUGAGAUCCUCCAAAUCAUCAUUUUUAUCUUAGAUGGGAUAUGUAAAUUCCAUAGCUUUCUGUAGAAAUUUGUAGUUUCGGUAUGUAAAAUUAAUUCAUUAGGAUCCAAUAAACACUUAUGUAAUAGUUUAUAGGCGCUCCUCACUGAAAACUCCCCGGUCGGCUCCCCUCUCCAAACUUGAAAGUCGUCAUGUUCCGUCUCCGCCAGUGGUAUCUUCAAAACUUUCUCAGUAAUCUCCGAUCGAAAGAUCAUCACAAACUGAAAUUUUAUCACCUCUCCCCACCCUCCAGCAAAGACCUUUUUCAAGCAGACCUUUCGCAGACCAUACACUCUUCCAGAUUUUCAGAAUAAAAGCCAAUGGGAACAUCAUGUACUUGUACCCAGAAAGAUGCUGAAAUUAAUGUAACUCUUAACGGAUCCUCUCCCCUACUCAACUUAUGCAAAAUCAGCAGGAUUUCUUCUUCUUCAUCAUCAAUAGACAGACUGGCGAAAUCUGACUCCAUGGACAAUUACGUGAGAAACAGAUUAAGAGAAUUAAUUCAGACCCUUUAAAUGGUAGCCGUCAAACCAAGAAACUUUUGAAAACCGAGACUUGCCAAGGAGGCAGACAGAAACGUGCUAGGGUAGC